UAUUAAUUCUAUCCAUACAUCUAUAUAUUGCUUUGUAAUAAUCUUAAAAUAGAUUACAUACCUUUCCCCCCACCUCCAUAGAAUGAUUGGGUUUUAUUUGGUGCAUUAAGCGAGCCUGCUCUGGGGAUGAAUUAGAGUACAUGCUGAAGGAGAGAGAGUGUUGUCUGUUGAACUCUUACCCUCCUGUGUUCCUGUGAGUGUAAGAAGGGAAGACAUAAUCUCAUUGUUAAGGCGGCUGAAUGUUGCUUUGGAGAAGUUGAUCCUCUGCCAAGGAGUGUGAUGCUGGGCAUCCUGCCCCACAGCCAUGUAAAUUUUCUUACGUACAAAUGUUCAUUGCCAUCUUUUACAUUCCUCUGCUGACAGUGAAGAGGUCAUGCUAAAUCAAACUGAUGGAGAAACUGGACAUCAUCUUUACCCUGAAUGCCCAGAUUAAUUCUGCCAGAACAGAGUUUCAUGACUGGAAGAUUGAGGCUGGAAGUGGUCUCUGAUAGUCAUCUUGUCUAAACUACCUGUUCAGGAAGGGUCACCUAGAGCAGAUUGCCCAGGAUUAUGUCCAGAUGGCUUUUAAUCUCCUUUUGCCCCGGAGAUAGAUACACAUAACUUGGCACUGAUCUGCUAGCAAGAAAACUUUAGCACAUCAAUAUUGGAAGCUU